rnacentral:rRNA from 1 species
UGGAAUUGCUAGUAAUGGCAGGUCAGCAUACUGCCGUGAAUACGUUCCCGGGCCUUGUACACACCGCCCGCCACACCAUGAGAGUUGGAAAUACCCGAAGCCUGUGAGCUAACUUAAAGAGGCAGCAGUCGAAGGUAGAGCCAAUGAUUGGGGUGAAGUCGUAACAAGGUACC